rnacentral:rRNA from 1 species
UGUAAGCGUAUACCAAAGUUGUUGCAGUUAAAACGCUCGUAGUCGGAAUUUGGCAGUUCCGGAUGUGUGCACGUCGUGUGCGCACUUCGCGGGGAUUGCUUUUGUGGUCUUGCGUAGGAUGAGGCACUUUUAGUAGUGAACGUCCUCACGCAACCACUUUUUACUGUGAGAAAAUCAGAGUGCUCAAAGCAGGCAUUUGCCGUGAAUGUAUUAGCAUGGAAUAAUAGAAUAGGACUUGGUUCUAUUUUGUUGGUUUGUUGGGACUGAGUAAUGAUUAAGAGGGACAGUUGGGGGCAUUUGUAUUUCGGUGCUAGAGGUGAAAUUCUUAGAUUACCGAAAGACAAACUGCUGCGAAAGCGUCUGCCAAGGAUGUUUUCAUUGA